rnacentral:tRNA from 1 species
GGGCUCGUAGCUUAAUUGAAUAGAGCAUCUGACUACGGAUCAGAAGGUUGGGGGUUUGAAUCCCUCCGAGCCCGCAA